rnacentral:rRNA from 1 species
UGAAUACGAGACGCUAAGGCGUCGAAGUAGUGUAUGUCAUACUUCCAAGAAAAGCUUGCACUGUCAUAGAUAAAAAACGCCUGUACCAUAACCGACACAGGUGGGUAGGUAGAGUAUACUAAGGGGCGCGAGAUAACUCUCUCUAAGGAACUCGGCAAAAUAACUCCGUAACUUCGGGAGAAGGAGUGCCUUAUUCGUAAGGUUGCAAUAACAAGAUCCAAGCAACUGUUUAUCAAAAACACAGGUCUCCGCUAAGUCGUAAGACGAUGUAUGGGGGCUGACGCCUGCCCAGUGCCAGAAGGUUAAAGAAGUUGGUUAGCAAUUGCGAAGCUGAUAACUGAAGCCCUGGUGAACGGCGGCCGUAACGAUAACGGUCCUAAGGUAGCGAAAUUCCUUGUCGGGUAAGUUCCGACCCGCACGAAAGGCGUAAUGAUUUGGAUACUGUCUCGGAGAGGGGCUCGGUGAAAUAGACUUGUCUGUGAAGAUGCGGACUACCUGCACCAGGACAGAAAGACCCUAUGAAGCUUUACUGUAACUUGAGAUUGAAAUUGGACUUUAUUCGCGCAGCAUAGGUGGGAGGCGUUGAUUAUAAUCUUGCGGGAUUAUUGGAGCCAUCAGUGAGAUACCACUCUUGUAAUGUUAGAUUUCUAACUUUGAAUCAUUAUCUGGUCAAAGAACAGUUUCAGGCGGGCAGUUUGACUGGGGCGGUCGCCUCCUAAACGGUAACGGAGGCGUACAAAGGUUUCCUCUGAACGGUUAGAAAUCGUAUCUAGAGUGUAAAGGCAUGAAGCUUGACUGUGAGACCUACAAGUCGAGCAGGGACGAAAGUCGGUCUUAGUGAUCUGACGGUACUGAGUGGAAAGGCCGUCACUCAACGGAUAAAAGUUACUCUAGGAUAACAGGCUGAUCUCCCCCAAGAGUUCACAUCGACGGGGAGGUUUGGCACCUCGAUGUCGGCUCAUCGCAUCCUGGGGCGGUAGUACGUCCCAAGGGUUGGGCUGUUCGCCCAUGAAAGCGGUACGUGAGCUGGGUUCAGAACGUCGUGAGAAAGUUCGGUCCAUAUCCGGUGUAGGCGUUAGAAUAUUGAGAGGAGCCUUCUUUAGUACGAGAGGACCGAGAAGGACAUACCUCUGGUGUACCAGUUAUCGUGCCAACGGUAAACGCUGGGUAGCUAUGUAUGGAGUGGAUAACCGCUGAAAGCAUCUAAGUAGGAAGCCCACCUCAAGAUAAGUAUUCUCA